UACGAAGGGUGCAAGCGUUGUUCGGAUUUAUUGGGCGUAAAGCGCGCGCAGGCGGACAGUUAAGCCAGAUGUGAAAUCUCGGGGCUCAACCCCGAAACUGCGUCUGGAACUGGUUGUCUAGAGUCUCGGAGGGGGAAGGGGAAUUUCGCAUGUAGGGGUAAAAUCCGUAGAGAUGCGAAGGAACACCAGUGGCGAAGGCGCCUUCCUGGACGAGUACUGACGCUGAGGCGCGAAAGCGUGGGGAGCAAACAGG
rnacentral:misc_RNA from 1 species